CCCUGUGGCUCAGUUGGUAGAGCAUGGUGUUUGCAACGCCAGCAUGGUGUUUGCAACGCCAGGGUUGUGGGUUCGAUUCCCACAGGGG
rfam:Salmo salar isolate Sally breed double haploid chromosome ssa09, whole genome shotgun sequence.